rnacentral:rRNA from 1 species
UCGACGCGCAGCGAAGGUGCUUGCACCUUUCAAGCGAGUGGCGAACGGGUGAGUAACACGUGGAUAACCUGCCUCAAGGCUGGGGAUAACAUUUGGAAACAGAUGCUAAUACCGAAUAAAACUUAGUAUCGCAUGAUACAAAGUUAAAAGGCGCUACGGCGUCACCUAGAGAUGGAUCCGCGGUGCAUUAGUUAGUUGGUGAGGUAAAGGCUUACCAAGACGAUGAUGCAUAGCCGAGUUGAGAGACUGAUCGGCCACAUUGGGACUGAGACACGGCCCAAACUCCUACGGGAGGCUGCAGUAGGGAAUCUUCCACAAUGGGCGCAAGCCUGAUGGAGCAACGCCGCGUGUGUGAUGAAGGCUUUCGGGUCGUAAAGCACUGUUGUAUGGGAAGAAAUGCUAAAAUAGGGAAUGAUUUUAGUUUGACGGUACCAUACCAGAAAGGGACGGCUAAAUACGUGCCAGCAGCCGCGGUAAUACGUAUGUCCCGAGCGUUAUCCGGAUUUAUUGGGCGUAAAGCGAGCGCAGACGGUUGAUUAAGUCUGAUGUGAAAGCCCGGAGCUCAACUCCGGAAUGGCAUUGGAAACUGGUUAACUUGAGUGUUGUAGAGGUAAGUGGAACUCCAUGUGUAGCGGUGGAAUGCGUAGAUAUAUGGAAGAACACCAGUGGCGAAGGCGGCUUACUGGACAACAACUGACGUUGAGGCUCGAAAGUGUGGGUAGCAAACAGGAUUAGAUACCCUGGUAGUCCACACCGUAAACGAUGAAUACUAGGUGUUAGGAGGUUUCCGCCUCUUAGUGCCGAAGCUAACGCAUUAAGUAUUCCGCCUGGGGAGUACGACCGCAAGGUUGAAACUCAAAGGAAUUGACGGGGACCCGCACAAGCGGUGGAGCAUGUGGUUUAAUUCGAAGCAACGCGAAGAACCUUACCAGGUCUUGACAUCCUUUGAAGCUUUUAGAGAUAGAAGUGUUCUCUUCGGAGACAAAGUGACAGGUGGUGCAUGGUCGUCGUCAGCUCGUGUCGUGAGAUGUUGGGUUAAGUCCCGCAACGAGCGCAACCCUUAUUGUUAGUUGCCAGCAUUCAGUUGGGCACUCUAGCGAGACUGCCGGUGACAAACCGGAGGAAGGCGGGGACGACGUCAGAUCAUCAUGCCCCUUAUGACCUGGGCUACACACGUGCUACAAUGGCGUAUACAACGAGUUGCCAACCUGCGAAGGUGAGCUAAUCUCUUAAAGUACGUCUCAGUUCGGACUGCAGUCUGCAACUCGACUGCACGAAGUCGGAAUCGCUAGUAAUCGCGGAUCAGCACGCCGCGGUGAAUACGUUCCCGGGUCUUGUACACACCGCCCGUCACACCAUGGGAGUUUGUAAUGCCCAAA